rnacentral:rRNA from 1 species
AGUUAUCGUUUAUUUGAUAGUACCCUACUACAUGGAUAACCGUGGUAAUUCUAGAGCUAAUACAUGCCGAAAGCCCCGACCUCUGGGAGGGGUGUGUUUAUUAGAUAAAAAACCAACGCCCCUUGGGGCUCCUUGGUGAAUCAUGAUAACCGCACGAAUCGCAUGGCCUUGCGCCGGCGAUGGUUCAUUCAAAUUUCUGCCCUAUCAACUUUCGAUGGUAGGAUAGUGGCCUACCAUGGUCGCAACGGGUAACGGGGAAUUAGGGUUCUAUUCCGGAGAGGGAGCCUGAGAAACGGCUACCACAUCCAAGGAAGGCAGCAGGCGCGCAAAUUACCCAAUCCCGGCACGGGGAGGUAGUGACAAUAAAUACUGAUACAGGGCUCUUUCGGGUCUUGUAAUCGGAAUGGGUACAAUCUAAACCCCUUAACGAGGAACAAUUGGAGGGCAAGUCUGGUGGACCCGUCAGACGGUCCCCGCCCGCACGGGCGGGCUACUGACGCCAGCGAGAGCGGCCCUCCGGGCCCCUAGUCGAGCACCCGACACCGUGAUGGGUGGGUGCCGGCGAGACAACCUGGUUCGGGGGAGGCUGCCGCCGCGUCGCGGCCUGUCGAUCCCGAGCGGAGCCCCCGGCGGAUCACCCGGAGGCCCGUGUAGAGCGCGGAAAGGUGUCGGCCGGCCGCCAAGGUCGGCUUGAGGGACGUGCCAUCCCCGCCCGAAAGGGCGCGGUCCGCCGGAGCCCCCAUCAGGCGAGGGCGGAGCGGGGCGUCGACCGGGCGGUCGACGCCCGGAGAAGCAGGCCAGCAGCCGCGGUAAUACCAGCUCCAAUAGCGUAUAUUAAAGUUGUUGCAGUUAAAAAGCUCGUAGUUGAACCUUGGGCCUGGCUGGCCGGUCCGCCUCACCGCGUGCACUGGACCGGCCGGGCCUUUCCUCCUGGGGAGCCGCAUGCCCUUCGCUGGGUGUGCCGGGGAUCCAGGACGUUUACCUUGAGAAAAUUAGAGUGUUCAAAGCAGGCCUACGCUCGAAUACAUUAGCAUGGAAUAAUAGAAUAGGACGUGCGGUUCUAUUUUGUUGGUUUCUAGGACCGCCGUAAUGAUUAAUAGGGAUAGUCGGGGGCAUCCGUAUUCAAUUGUCAGAGGUGAAAUUCUUGGAUUUAUUGAAGACGAACUACUGCGAAAGCAUUUGCCAAGGAUGUUUUCAUUAAUCAGUGAACGAAAGUUAGGGGAUCGAAGACGAUCAGAUACCGUCGUAGUCUUAACCAUAAACCAUGCCGACUAGGGAUCGGGCGGUGUUAUUCUUUUGACCCGCUCGGCACCUUACGAGAAAUCAANNNNUUUGGGUUCUGGGGGGAGUAUGGUCGCCAGGCUGAAACUUAAAGAAAUUGACGGAAGGGCACCACCAGGCGUAAACCGUCGCACCGAGCCGCGACAGCCUCUGCGCCAAACAGCAGCCUGAAAGGGUCCGGUGAUGUCUGGCGCACCUAGACGGUGCCGAUCGUUAAAUGCUAGUUCAUCCCGCCGGAGGGUGAGCAACACACUCAAACUGCGGGAAACCCCUAAAGCUCCUGCUACCAAGCUGAUGUUCGGAAGGCGUCAGUGGCCGGGCUAAUGGCCCUGGGUAUGGUGAAAAGGCAAUGGAGAUGUUACAAUGGGCUAUCCGCAUCCAAACCCCUCUCGUCUGGCUGGGCCCACCGGGUUGCGCUGGAGCGUGGGGUCGGUUCAGAGACUAUAUGGGUGUGGGUUGGGUUUGCCACGUACGCCAUAUCUGUGUGCCCUUGGGGUGUUCUGAGGUCGGAUGUGACGUAUGUGUGAGGCGGGCCCUGCCUAAGAUAUAGUCCACAAGCCCUUGUAACGGAGGGUCGGAUGUAGUGGGAGCCUGCGGCUUAAUUCGACUCAACACGGGGAAACUCACCAGGUCGACCGUCUGGGCCUGAAAGAGCGAUCUGUAGAUCGGGUCGCUAGUACUGUGCAUCCCACGCGAGGAAGUCCUCGAGCUUGGGCGUGGGAGAUCCUCGCCCUGGGGGUCUGGUACGGUGCAACACCAGCUGGUACAGGGGAUGCCAAGGCUCAACCGUGGGAGGUGAGCAUGGUCAAUCCUGUGGCGAGCCCGGGUUACGUUGGGCCGUCGCAACGCGCGCCAAGCGGUGGGUUUCUCCCAGGCCUCUUUUGAUGGGGUCGCUCUGCAGGGGAAGCUUAAGGUACGCGCUAAUCCCAUGGGUAACCAUGCCUUGAUGACUAGAUCCAGGCGUCGAAGCAUCAAGGGUUCCUCCUAGGUGAGUGAACGGUGUGGAUGAUUUUGGUGCCAGACACAAUAAGGAUUGACAGAUUGAGAGCGCUUUCUUGAUUUUGUGGGUGGUGGUGCAUGGCCGUUCUUAGUUGGUGGAGUGAUUUGUCUGCUUAAUUGCGAUAACGAACGAGACCUUAACCUGCUAAAUAGCCCGGCCAGCCUUGGCUGGUCGCCGGCUUCUUAGAGGGACUAUCGGCUCAAGCCGAUGGAAGUUUGAGGCAAUAACAGGUCGACGUCAUCACAGGCCUGUCACAGUGGGGCCUCCUGUAGAAGAUUGAACCCGCUAGUUCAACGCCUUCAAUCUCCGUGGGGGAAGCCCCCCCGCUGCCGGGCGGAGGCGAGCGCCCGUGGAAUAUCCUGGGGCUUGUGGCGUGAGCAACACCACCUGGAACAGGGAACGUCAAUCCUCACGAUGAGGACACUGGCCGAUCCUGUAACGAGCUCAGUAGCGCUGGGCCGUUGCAACGCGCGGUAAGGGGUGGGCUGGUCAACAGCUUAAGGUACGUGCUAAUCCCUCGGGUAACUGAGCUCCUACAUUGAGACCCGGCAGGUCAAGGUGUAGGGGUAGUAGUAGUCUCCCUUAUUUUGCUGGGAUGUUUACUACUAGGAUAUGUGGGGUAGUGGGGUCCGCUGGUGGCCCUGCAAAAUUGUCUGUCGUGUUCAGUUGUCUUAGAGGAGUAGCGUCUGCUCCUUGGCGACUACCCAGACAGAAACCUGCAAAACCGGUUGAUCCCACUCCCACAGGAUGCUGUGAUGCCCUUAGAUGUUCUGGGCCGCACGCGCGCUACACUGACAGAGCCAACGAGUUCAUCACCUUGGCCGGAAGGUUUGGGUAAUCUUGUUAAACUCUGUCGUGCUGGGGAUAGAGCAUUGCAAUUAUUGCUCUUCAACGAGGAAUGCCUAGUAAGCGCGAGUCAUCAGCUUGCGUUGAUUACGUCCCUGCCCUUUGUACACACCGCCCGUCGCUACUACCGAUUGAAUGGCUCAGUGAGGCCUCCGGACUGGCCCCAGGAGGUCGGCAACGACCGCCCGGGGCCGGGAAGCUGGUCAAACU